rnacentral:tRNA from 1 species
ACUUAAAUAAUUUAAUAAAAAUAUUGAUUUGUGGAAUCAAAAAUAUGAAAUAAAUAAUCAAUCAUUUUAAGUC